rnacentral:rRNA from 1 species
CGGCGGACGGGUGAGUAAUGCCUAGGAAUCUGCCUGGUAGUGGGGGACAACGUUUCGAAAGGAACGCUAAUACCGCAUACGUCCUACGGGNGAAAGCAGGGGACCUUCGGGCCUUGCGCUAUCAGAUGAGCCUAGGUCGGAUUAGCUAGUUGGUGAGGUAAUGGCUCACCAAGGCGACGAUCCGUAACUGGUCUGAGAGGAUGAUCAGUCACACUGGAACUGAGACACGGUCCAGACUCCUACGGGAGGCAGCAGGG